AAGUCGUACAGGUUUCCGUAGGUGAACCUGCGGAAGGAUCAUUACACUCAGUAGUUUACUACUGUUAAAGGGGCUGUCAGCCUGUAUAGCUUAACCGCUGAUGAGCAGCUGGCCUCUUUUCUCUACCCUUGUCUUUUGCGCACCCAUGUUUCCUCGGCAGGCUUGCCUGUCGACUGGACAAUUUUAUCACCUUUUUUUAUGUUUACUCAGCGUCUGAAAAACUUAAUAAUUACAACUUUCAACAACGGAUCUCUUGGUCCUGGCAUCGAUGAAGAACGCAGCGAAAUGCGAUAAGUAGUGUGAAUUGCAGAAUUCAGUGAAUCAUCGAAUCUUUGAACGCACAUUGCGCCCCUUGGUAUUCCAUGGGGCAUGCCUGUUCGAGCGUCAUUUGUACCCUCAAGCUUUGCUUGGUGUUGGGUGUUUGUCCUCUCUCAUGUGUUUGGACUCGCCUUAAAACAAUUGGCAGCCAGUGUUUUGGUAUAGAAGCGCAGCACAAGUCGCGAUUCGCACCUCAUAGCACUUGCGCCCACAAGUUAUUCUUUAACUUUUGACCUCGGAUCAGGUAGGGAUACCCGCUGAACUUAAGCAUAUCA
rnacentral:rRNA from 1 species